rnacentral:tRNA from 1 species
GGCGAGGUAGCUCAGUGGUAGAGCAGGGGACUCAUAAGCCCUUGGUCGUGGGUUCAACCCCCACUCUCGCCA